rnacentral:rRNA from 1 species
UACGGAGGAUCCAAGCGUUAUCCGGAUUUAUUGGGCGUAAAGAGCUCGUAGGCGGUCUGUCGCGUCUGCUGUGAAAACUCAGGGCUUAACCCUGAGCUUGCAGUGGGUACGGGCAGACUAGAGUGCGGUAGGGGAGACUGGAAUUCCUGGUGUAGCGGUGAAAUGCGCAGAUAUCAGGAGGAACACCGGUGGCGAAGGCGGGUCUCUGGGCCGUAACUGACGCUGAGGAGCGAAAGCAUGGGGAGCGAACAGG